GCGGAAUCUCAGCGCCCCACUUCCGGCUCCGCCCCUGAGGCCGGCGGAGCCACGCUCGGCCCGCCUCCACGUCCCUAGCGGGAAGGCCUCGCUCAGGCACCACCCUUCGGAGAGGCGGGUCUAACCUUCGGGCCCCGCCCCUUGCACGUGGGCCAGCCAAUCAGUGCUAGUCCGUGGGUCUCGUCCCCUUCUUCCGGGAGUGGCUUCGCCCACAGGGGCCUUCUCUCUUCAGCCACGCCCCCGCGUCUUAUUUGCAUAAGGUGGCGGAUUGGUCCGCCGAGAAGGACUCGCUCAGUUUAGCGGGCUCUCCCCGCCCUCGCAGACUCCUCAUCUGGGUGGAGUGUGGGCUGAGUCCGCUGGUCGUUUGCUUUGCUUCUCUUUUCCAGAUGUUGCGGAACGAUUUCCUGUUGGUGCGCUGGUCCAGGUUUUAUAAUUGCUUGCAUCAUACACAAACUUUUGCAGGUAUGCCAAGCAUACGUAACUUCAGUAUUGAAAUGUUUGAGGACCUGGUCCCUGCCCACUGCCACCGGCAACCUAGCACUAGGAAGACCGGAGCACCAGGAUCGUGAGAACAGAAAACAAAAUAACGACAACAAAAUAAACAAGUAAAUAACGAAAAACAGUGUUAAAAACGUCACCUGCAACCUCACCGUUUUAGCACCUAAAAGCAAUGUUGGGGUACUUUUAAGUCACUUCGUUGGGAACAUUUCCCCUUAUCUAAGCAAUAGAGAUGGAUUUAGUAAGCUUCUAGGGGUAUAUUAAAGGUUCUGAAGUUACUUGGUGUGCAGUUGCACGCUCUUGUUUGUUUUUACGCUUUAUCAUUGCCCACUAGGCAAGUGUGUUAGUCAUCUUGUCAUGGGGAAGUUAUCUUAUUGGAGGCCAAAUGGCUAUUCCCAGAAUGGAAUUCUAACGUGUAGCAGCAUGUGCGAAAACAUAGGAGAUCGUGGAUGAGGAGCUCCAGAUAGAGCGCCACGCCAAAAAUGAUUACACGGACACCAUGGUGACACUGCAAAUGUAGAUUCAAAUGACCAGAGGACCAAAGGCAAGCUUGGGAACCCGGAUCGGUAUACAAAACACAGGAGCCAGGAACGGCUUACAGCCACGUCCACGUAGUUGGAUCAGAGCAUAGGAUUCUUGGUUUUUACAUUAUGUUACAUGUCUUUUUUUUAUUUUUCACGCCGAUGGGUGGUACGAUAGUCUCUUCCUAUGGCUUAGUCAUCCAGCAUCUUGCUAUGCCCAAUUUGCAUAAUCAUUUGCCCUUCCAUAGAAGAAGCAUUUGUCGAAUGCCAGCUGCUUGACUGCACCCCAGACAUUCUUCUAGGUUUUGAUGAUAUUACCCAGUCUCAAGAUCAAAAGAUUGGACACAGUUGUCAGUACUUGGGAGGCCAAGAUCAGACUGUCCAAGUUCAAGGGCAAGACUGUAAUUGCUUCAGGAAAACGUGCCUGGCCAUCCUUUGCAUUAAGUACCUCUUCCCAACCACGAGCAUGAAACUGCAUUGCCGUCUCAACUUGUAAGUGUGCCUGUGUCCUACUCUGAAACACGAGAUACCCCAUCUGAGUACUGUAGACACAAUUUAGAAGCUGCAAACCCAAGGCAGUGGGAUUUUAGCCUAUGAUGCUGGGACAGUGAUGAAACUGCUCAACAAGUUUCUCAGAGUGUCUCCUCGUGGGUAAGGGACACAACACAUGAGUGUGUUUUCAAAUAGGAUCAAUUUCUGAGGCUCCCGUGGAUGUCCAACGUAGCACACCAGUAGCUGAGAUGUGUUCCGAGAACAAUUAGUAGCAAUCAGUAAACGGAGUUUUAUAGGAAUAUGGGGGAGGGAAGAAUCAAUCAUUUACAGGUGAUAAGAUGUGAGACAAACGACAUCUUAAAAGCAAAGCUUUAAGCUGAGUGGCAGGAUUUUAUCAGAGGAGCCUUAACUACUUAAUGAUUUAUCCCGAACAACACAUUUAAUUCCAGGUGAUCGUGAACUAGAAAUUUCUUGUAAAUAGAAAAUGAAAGUGA